AUAUUACUCUCUUCAUCCCAAAAUUCUUGUCUUACAUUUUUCUAAAUACGUGUAUCAAGUCACGUCUUAGUAUUAGAUACAUUCGUAUCUAGACAAAUUUAAGACAAGAAUUUUGGGACGGAGGGAGUAUUUC
rfam:Triticum urartu cultivar G1812 contig67901, whole genome shotgun sequence.